AACGAACGCUGGCGGCAGGCCUAACACAUGCAAGUCGAACGCCUCAGCAAUGGGGAGUGGCAGACGGGUGAGUAACACGUGGGAACGUACCCUUCGGUUCGGAAUAACUCAGGGAAACUUGAGCUAAUACCGGAUACGUCCGAGAGGAGAAAGAUUUAUCGCCGAAGGAUCGGCCCGCGUCUGAUUAGCUUGUUGGUGAGGUAACGGCUCACCAAGGCGACGAUCAGUAGCUGGUCUGAGAGGAUGAUCAGCCACAUUGGGACUGAGACACGGCCCAAACUCCUACGGGAGGCAGCAGUGGGGAAUAUUGGACAAUGGGCGAAAGCCUGAUCCAGCCAUGCCGCGUGAGUGAUGAAGGCCUUAGGGUUGUAAAGCUCUUUUACCUGGGAAGAUAAUGACGGUACCAGGAGAAUAAGCCCCGGCUAACUUCGUGCCAGCCGCCGCAGUAA
rnacentral:rRNA from 1 species